UUGGUCGUUUGGUUGCUA
rnacentral:snRNA from 1 species